rnacentral:rRNA from 1 species
AGAGCGAACGCUGGCGGCAGGCCUAAUACAUGCAAGUCGAACGCACCUUCGGGUGAGUGGCGGACGGGUGAGUAACGCGUGGGAACGUGCCUUUGGUUCAGAACAACUCAGGGAAACUUGAGCUAAUACUGAAUAAGCCCUACGGGGGAAAGAUUUAUCGCCAUUAGAGCGGCCCGCGUUGGAUUAGCUAGUUGGUGAGGUAAAGGCUCACCAAGGCUACGAUCCAUAGCUGGUCUGAGAGGACGAUCAGCCACACUGGGAUUGAGAACGGCCCAGACUCCUACGGGGGGCAGCAGUGAGGAAUUUUCGGCAAUGGGGGCAACCCUGACCGAGCAACGCCGCGUGCAGGAGGAAGGUCUUCGGAUCGUAAACUGCUUUUCUGUGGGAAGAGAACGGACGGUACCACAGGAAGAAGCCCCGGCUAACUACGUGCCAGCAGCCGC